rnacentral:lncRNA from 1 species
CCCCCAACAUGAACAUCUGUGCCAGGACUGGAGAAGGAGCUGUGGUGUGCUAGAAAUGGAUGAUGGAGACAGGCAGAAUGAGAAUGGAAGAAAAAUAGAUAGAAAAAUAUAUAAUUGUAUCAAGCCCAUGAAGCUAAGUAAAGCAUGGUGAAGGGAUUAAGGUCAGGGGAGAGUGCUAUUUCAGAUGGCCAAAGGAGAAGAAGGCCUAUCUGCAAAAGUAACACUUGAGUGAAGACCUGAAAGGAAGAAAGGAGCCACAAGAAGAACAGAAGGAAGAGUAUUUCAGGCAGAGGACAAUACAUAUAAAGGCUAAGGUGAGUACAUGCUAGGUGUGUUUGACAAACAAGGAGGUCACUGUGACUGGAGUAUAGUGAGGGAGGCAGAGUGAUUUGAGAUGUCCAAAAGGUAAGUAGGGGGCAGACAGACAGACAAUACCACAGUCCUGGUGGGGCACGGUAAGGAACACUGGAUUUGGAGUGAGAUGUGCAGCAAAUGGUAGGUUCCGAGCAGAGUCAUGUGCUAUGAUCUGACUUGUAUCAAAAUUAAAUGAUUCCUCUGGCUGCUGUGUGGAGAACAGACUACAGAGGCCAGGAGUGAAAAAUGAAGACACCAACUAAAAGGCUACUGCAACUGACCAGGCAAGAGCUGUUGCAGGCCUGGAAUAGAACGGUGGUGGUGGGGUGGUGAGAAAUGGUUGAGAUUCCUGAUAUAUUCUCUAAGUUUCAGUGCAAAGACAGGAUGUGAAAGCAGGGAGAGAAUUAAAGACAUCUCCAAGGCUUCUGGUCCAAGCAACUAGAAAAAUGGAAUUGUUAUGAACUGAAAUGAGGCUGACUGAGAAACAGAUAAAGGAGUAAAAUUACUGACAUGCUGAAGAGCCAACUCGACGAAACAUGCAAAGAAAUUCUAGGAAUGCAGCUUGAUCAACAGUGUUCCAAAGAAACAUCAACAUAAAACUAUUUGUGAAGAAACAAAUACAAUGUUUAAAGAAGGUA